rnacentral:rRNA from 1 species
GUAGGGAAUCUUCCACAAUGGACGAAAGUCUGAUGGAGCAACGCCGCGUGAGUGAAGAAGGUCUUCGGAUCGUAAAACUCUGUUGUUAGAGAAGAACGUGCAUGAUAGUAACUGAUCAUGUAAUGACGGUAUCUAACCAGAAAGCCACGGCUAACUACGUGCCAGCAGCCGCGGUAAUACGUAGGUGGCAAGCGUUGUCCGGAUUUAUUGGGCGUAAAGGGAACGCAGGCGGUUUUUUAAGUCUGAUGUGAAAGCCUUCGGCUUAACCGAAGAAUAGCAUUGGAAACUGGAAGACUUGAGUGCAGAAGAGGAGAGUGGAAUUCCUAGUGUAGCGGUGAAAUGCGUAGAUAUUAGGAGGAACACCAGUGGCGAAGGCGACUUUCUGGACUGUAACUGACGCUGAGGCUCGAAAGCCAGGGGAGCGAACGGGAUUAGAAACCCCGGUAGUCC